rnacentral:rRNA from 1 species
GACGAACGCUGGCGGCGUGCCUAAUACAUGCAAGUAGAACGCUGAAGCUUGGUGCUUGCACCGAGCGGAUGAGUUGCGAACGGGUGAGUAACGCGUAGGUAACCUGCCUGGUAGCGGGGGAUAACUAUUGGAAACGAUAGCUAAUACCGCAUAAGAGUAGAUGUUGCAUGACAUUUGCUUAAAAGGUGCAAUUGCAUCACUACCAGAUGGACCUGCGUUGUAUUAGCUAGUUGGUGAGGUAACGGCUCACCAAGGCAACGAUACAUAGCCGACCUGAGAGGGUGAUCGGCCACACUGGGACUGAGACACGGCCCAGACUCCUACGGGAGGCAGCAGUAGGGAAUCUUCGGCAAUGGACGGAAGUCUGACCGAGCAACGCCGCGUGAGUGAAGAAGGUUUUCGGAUCGUAAAGCUCUGUUGUAAGAGAAGAACGAGUGUGAGAGUGGAAAGUUCACACUGGACG